UACGUAGGCAGCGAGCGUUGUUCGGAGUUACUGGGCGUAAAGGGUGUGUAGGCGGUUGUUUAAGUUUGGUGUGAAAUCUCCCGGCUCAACUGGGAGGGUGCGCCGAAUACUGAAUGACUAGAGUGCGGGAGAGGUGAGUGGAAUUCCUGGUGUAGCGGUGAAAUGCGCAGAUAUCAGGAAGAACACCCGUGGCUAAGGCGGCUCUCUAGUACGGUACUGACGCUGAGACGCGAAAGCGUGGGGAGCGAACAGG
rnacentral:rRNA from 1 species